UCAAUAUAUCGAUAUUUAUAGCUUCAUAAGAUCAUUUUCACUCACGAAAAGUCCAUGGAAACCGUAAGGCACACGACGAGGCAAUUUGACAUUAGCCACAAUGUCAAGAUUAGGUGAUGUUGCAUCCAUGACCAAAAAAUUUGAUUCCCCUGUCUUCUCAUUGUGUACGUAUGACACCACGUAGCCAUCGUCUUCAUCAAUCGAAGGAUUUUUAGGCACGAAAAAUGGUUCACCACCAUAGCAAUCUUUUCCAAAUAUACGACAUGCCACGAUGCAAUCGCGACGAUCAAUUUCUGCUACGG
rnacentral:misc_RNA from 1 species